CCUACGGGUGGCAGCAGUAAGGAAUAUUGCUCAAUGGGGGAAACCCUGAAGCAGCAACGUCGCGUGGAGGAUGAAGGCUCUCGGAUUUUAAACUCCUUUUUAUAGAGAAGAUAAUGACGGUAUCUAAGGAAUAAGCACCGGCUAACUCCGUGCCAGAAGCCCCGGUAAUAUGGAGGGUGCAAGCGUUACUCGGAAUCUCUGGGCGUAAAGCGCGCGUAGGGGGGAUAGCAAGUCAGUUGUGAAAUCCUAGGGGUUAAACCGAGAACUGCAUUUGAAACUGUUGGUCUAGAGUAUGGGAGUGGUAGGUGGAAUUCGUGGUGUAGGGGUGAAAUCCGUAGAGAUCAAGAGGAAUACUCAUUGCGAAGGC
rnacentral:rRNA from 1 species